CACGAAUCGAUAUAAACGAUCAGGUGUUUGGAUGUAAACGAGUUUUAUUUAACAUUGCCUACAUCUUAAUUGCAAAAUGGUUUACGAGUUGAAUAUCGAUGAAGAAAAUCUACAGUCAGAUAUUGUAACAGUUAGACUUCUAGACUUUUCUUCGUAUCUUAAACUAAUAUUCCGUUCAUUUAACAAUCAUAAUCAGAUAACUCUAAAUAUGUUUUUGAGGUUAAAUGUUAAAAUACCAUUGCCUUGCUUUUGACACUAAUUUUUAUAAGCUUUUCUGCCUUGCUAUUCAAUUAUUUUGUUAGAACAAAAAUUUCUUGAAUAUUUUGCCAAAGUAGUCGGUAAAUGUAAUUUAAACAAAUUGCUGAUUGCUUCAGUUCAGUCGUGUCGCACAAAAAAGUAUGUAGAUACAUAAUAUAUAUCAAC